GGCGAGUUUCUAAACCCAAGGAAGCUCCCAUGAACUCUGUGAGGUUCCCCUAGAUCCAGCAAGAGCCCAACGGGCUGACAGCUGCUCUCACCAGCGGCAGGGAUUUAUGUGCCACAUUUCAAAGGACAUGCAUUUUAAGGAUUUCUUGCUGUGUGAGAAACCAUUGGGGCAAAAUGGAGUAGAAGAAAAGUACACCUGAUUGUAAUUAAUGCUGACAGUAAUCUCCAGCUUUCAUUCUGAAAACAGCCAGAUGGGAAAGUUGGAACUGUUAAUAAUAGAAAACGUUGCCAUCCGCAGUUCCUGGAGUCAUAACUCUUUAAAGGCUGUUUGGAUUCCAGAUCUCUACAGACCAGCCCAAGCCAGAUGCUCCUCAGACUCUGCACUGCCAUGGGCCAUGGCCUUAGCAAGGAAGAGCCCGAGAACGGAGUGAGAUCUCAGCCCAAAGAAGGUUUAAGAAGGUACCUUGGAGAGGGACGUCAUUCUCAAUGAGUAUGCCAUUUUCCACAGGCCGGGUCAAAUGUAACCCAGCAGAUGGAAGGGUACUGGGAAGUAGGAGGCUGGGGGACUUCACUCUUAUUUGGGGAUGGGAAGGAAGACAAAGAGAGAGCUUCUUAAAAGUUGCCUCUCCCAGAAGCAGCAGCCAUGAAGUCAUCCCUCUUUCUCUGUGAGUAUUUGCAACUUUGCAGAGCUAGCUGAGGCAUCUACCCUGCUCCUGGGCACCCAGGGAGCCUGCCAUCUGUGAGGGGAGCU
rnacentral:lncRNA from 1 species